CAGUCGCCGCGGUAAUACAGAGGGUGCAAGCGUUAAUCGGAAUUACUGGGCGUAAAGCGUGCGUAGGCGGCUUUUUAAGUCGGAUGUGAAAUCCCUGAGCUUAACUUAGGAAUUGCAUUCGAUACUGGGAAGCUAGAGUAUGGGAGAGGAUGGUAGAAUUCCAGGUGUAGCGGUGAAAUGCGUAGAGAUCUGGAGGAAUACCGAUGGCGAAGGCAGCCAUCUGGCCUAAUACUGACGCUGAGGUACGAAAGCAUGGGGAGCAAACAGGAUUAGAUACCCGUGUAGUCCCUGUCUCUUAUAC
rnacentral:rRNA from 1 species